GACUCCGUAGCUCAGUUGGUAGAGCAGCUGACUCUUAAUCAGCGGGCCGAGAGUUCGAGUCUCUCCGGGGUCACCA
rnacentral:tRNA from 1 species